ACAGGAUAAGACAUGCAAGGAUUUUUCUUCCGUGCACAAGAGAGUCUAGCAGAAAAGCUUAAUGGUUCAUAGUUCUGAAAAUUGCCAUGUCAUAACUCCAAACCAUGAUUGGACAACACAGGAAAGGAUGGAUGAAGAAAGACAGUGUAGUGCAUGCUACAGAGGCCCUUUGUAUGAACACCAGUCACCAAUCAGAUUGAAAACAAUGAUGUGUUUUUGAAAGAUGCAUGUUGGUCAAAGAGUACAAACUUUGAGUUACGUAAUAGAUAAGCUCUGGCUAUCUAAUGUAUAGCAUAGUGAUAAUAAUGCUGUAAUUGUUUACUGGAAAUUUGAUAAGAGAGCAGAUUUUAAGUGUCCUCACCACACCCCCACAACACACACACAAAUGGUAACUAAGAGCGGUGAAUGAUGUGUUAGUUAAUUUUACUAUGGUAAUCAGUACGCGAUGUAUAUACAUAUCAAAUCACAUUGCACACCUUGAAUAUAUACAAAUUUUGUUUGUCAAUUACAUAUUUUUAAAAUAUAAAAAGAAAGGUGCAUGAGUCAGUCAUUAGGCUGGGCUGCCAUCCUUAAGUGUUCUAUUCUUCAUGUGGUACUCUUCUCAAGAGGGAGGCAAUCAUGUGUAAUUAGAUAUGAUUGACACCUCUGUGAGUGGAGUAACACAUGAUAUAUACAUCAUAUGACAUGGCAUGGUGGAUACACGGGGCGUGUUAAGUUGCAAGCAGUAUAAUACUUUCCCUAGAAUGCAGACAUUUCUACUGACACCCUCCCUGUUCUGGACUAGCUCAGUUAAUUCUCUAAAUUAAUUAUCAGACGUAAGACCUAGAAACUGAAAGUCUGAGGAAAAACUUCCCAUUGAGUUUCUUCUGAGAUUCAGAUCCCUUUUGCCAAAGUUGCUUGACCAAAAUGGUAACAAGCCUUUCACUGUCUUCAUGGUGUUCCUGUCACCUAUAAAGUGUUUUUUCUUUUGUAAGAACCUAUUCCCAACCGUAGCCUGCAAAUCUCUUAACUUACCACCUAUCGACAUUCCUCUUCAUUUUUAAGAUUUUCCCCUUAGGCAUCCAUCAGUUCCCUCCCUUCUCAGAUCCUUACCCUACUAAAGACCAAAGUAUUUUUUUUCUCCCAGGUAUUAAAGCUCCUUUUUUUUUUUUUUUUGGUAAUUAUUUCUGGUCUUUUCUGGUCUUUUUUUUAACUUUUAUUUUAAAUUCAGUUGUACAUAUGCAGGAUGUGCAGGUUUGUUAUAUAGGUAAACAUGUGUCAUGCAGGUUUGUUGUACAGAUUAUUUUAUCACCCAGGUAUUAAGCCUAGUAUCCAUUAGUUAUUUUUCCCGAUCCUACCCUUCCUCCCACCUUCCACCCUUUGAUAGGUCCCAGUGUGUGUUGUUCCCCUCUAUGUGUCCAUGUGUUCUCAUCAUUUAGCUCCCACUUACUUAUGCAUGAGAACAUGCCAUAUUUGGUUUUCUGGUCCUGUGCUAGUUUACUGAAGGUAAUGGUCUCCAGUUCCAUCUAUUUCCCUGUAAAGGACAUGAUCUCAUUCUUUUUUUAUGGCUGCAUAGUAUUUCAUGGUGCAUAUGUACCACAUUUUCUUUAUCCAGUCUACCAUUUAUGGGCAUUUAGGUGAAUUCCAUGUCUUUGCCAUUGUGACUAGUGCUGCAGUGAACAUACUCGUGCAUGUAUCUUUAUAAUAGAACAGUUGAUAAUCCUUUGGGUAUAUACCCAGUAAUGGGAUUGCUGGGUCAAAUGCUAUUUCUGGUUCUAGGUCUUUGAGGAAUUGCCACACUGUCUUCCACAAUGGUUGAACUAAUUUACACUCCCACCAGCAGUGUAGAAGCGUUCAUGUAGUUUUUGUUUUUAUUCUGUUUAUGUGAUGAAUUCUAAGCUCUUAAUGCACAGGAAUUCAGUGAAUCUUUACAAGAACCUUAUGAAGUAGGAGCUGUUAUAUCCACUCUCAUUUUACUAAUAAGACAAGAAAAAUAAUUUUAAUAAAUGCCUUAUGAUCACACAGCUAUCAAGAAGCAGAGCUUGUAUUUGAGCCCAGGCAGCCACUCUACAGUGUCCCCUUUUUUACAUCAACUCACUGCCCUCCCUUAGUUUCUUUUCUUCUAAAUCCAGCACUAGAAUGUAUUAAACAUUUGAUUCAGCUCACAGCUCACAGUUCCUUAUGUAGAGCUUUGAUAAUGGCCCUGCUCACAAAACAAAGAGGCUCUGACAAAACACACAAGUAUUCACGUCGGAAGGGUGAAAAGGAUCUGGAUUGGAAUCCAGUGCACUUGCAUCCAGGAUCUUCAGCCCUCAUCAGAGGACAUCACGAUGUCUGGUUAUGUUUGUCUACUAAUGUCUCCUUGAGGUUGAGCCACUGGGUAUAAAAUUAGAUAGCAGGUUUAAAUUUUUGUACGUACAUAUAGAUACUUAAAUUAUUUUCAUUUACUGGACCACAUCCAGGUUUGAGGCUAAAGUAUAUCCCCAUUUUUACAUGGUUACAUUAUUAUGAGGGUUAAAACCAGCAAUACGUUCUAGUUGUUGGUUGACAUUAAGUAGCAGUCCUCAUCUCAAAAAAUAGGAAAACCCCACCUUUCUCUGCGUUGCUAGAGAGGGAGGCCUGCCUUCAACCCUGCCUUCUUUCCUUUUACAGUCAGUGAUGAAAGCUAUACCUAGGUAUUAGUUAUUGAAACCACCAUCAUCAUGCCAUUACUUAUGUAUUUGAUGAUGGAUAAAGAUAAAUCCAGUUUUUGCCGUGUUUUAUCUUUCUUAAUGAAAAUAUCCAUCCCUGUUCCUAACAAAUUAGAUGAAUAAGCUAUGCUUAUAUGUAGAAUGUAAAGAAGGGUUGAGUGGGGAUGGGUGGGAAGGGCCGAUGUCAAAUUCUCUACCUACCAGCUCUUUCAGAUCUGAAAUGUCUAUAGAUACUGGAGAAAUUUCUUGUCUACUCUGUUUUUCCUGUUAAUAUUCCUACUGGAAAUAAAGAAUGAUGGACAAUGACCACAAAGGGGAGUCAAUUUGAGGACCAAAGAUGAUAUGGUGAAUGUAAAUAUUUAGAGUCCUGUAUUUGUGGAUGAUGUGAGACUUCUUAUAGUUCUGUGAGAUGCAGACUUGACUCAUAUUUUAGGUUACUAGAGGCAAGAUGGGACCCUAAAUUCUGGAGAACUUAGGGAAGUCCAGUUGAAGUGGCACUGACCUCUUAAACAUUCUUCACCGAGCGUAACUUGG
rnacentral:lncRNA from 1 species